UUAAUUGGUACUUUAUUACAACUUUAUAUCUACUUUCAUAAUUGCUUCUAGUGUUUUUAAAAUAUACUUAAAGUGCACUGUUCAAUCUACUGUCAAGCAAUUAAUGUGAAAUUAAAAAUAAGUUAAUGUAUAUUAACAGUACAUUUAAUUACUCAUUAAAUGUAAUGUUUCAAAUACAAGUUUGCCAAAUAAAUUCAAAUAUAUAAAAUUAAAUUCAAUCAGUUGAACUGUGAUUUCAGUGCAGUGAAGUGAUUUCAAUGCAUCUUUCUACAGUAUGUACUUUAACUACUUCUAUUGUAUGUGAAAUAUGGUUAUGUACUUCUCAAAAUACUGAAAAACAAAUCUAGUUAAUUAAAUAUGUAUUCAUUUCAGUUUAAUGCAUUGCAAACAAACAAAAACCACAAUGCUUACACUGACAAUAAAACAGUUUGGUAGUCAAAUUAUGAAUCAGAUUUUUUGUUUUGCAAAAGUACAUUUAAUAAAUUAAUUAUGAGUUGUAUAUGUCCAAACAAAAAAAAAACUCAUUUUAAUAUUGUUAAAUUGGAAUCAAACAACUAUCAAUAUUGAAUAAUUACAUCCCUUAGAAAAAAAUAAACUCAAAGUUAUUAUUUUUUAACAUUUUAACAGACAACUAAAAAAGAACUGCAUGAACUUUAAAUUAACAAGUCUUUGGUAGGUCACAUCAGUCUAAUGAUCAUUUAUUAAAUGUGUUUAGAAAUAUUGCCAUGAAAGUGUACUUUCUUUAUGUAGCGGGUAUUAACUCACUUACUUAUGGACCAGGCAUAAUAAUAAGAUCAGAAGGGUGCACGGUACGAAGGAGGAGGUAGCAGUGAUAGUGAACAACAAGCAGAGACAGAAGAUUCGUGAUCCAAUCAGGUCGAAAUGGGAGGCUCGCCAUCAAUUAGGAAAAUCCAGCUCAAGGAAUGUUCAUAGCACGUGCAACCAAAAUGGCGUCAGCGAACAGCAGUGAACACAACGCACCAUGUGGUUUUACAUAAUCACACUGCAAUGAACAAUCCAACCCAUAUAACAUCACAAUAUAACACCAUUUUGUCUCGUAUGGAUUAAACAAAUAAAAUGAUAUGACAUUUAAA